UGACAUCAUGCUAGAGACAUAGUAGCAGUUUAGCAGAUGCAUUUAUUCACUAUUUAUUGAGCAUCUAUUAUGUAUAAGACAAUUGAAUUAAGAAAUUUCAGUGGAUUGAGUUGUACACAUCUCUGUAUUUUCAGCUGCCAGUUUCUGGUUAGUUGACGGAAAAGUUCCAAGGACUUAGCCGGGUUCUACUUUGAGUGGAGGGACUAAGGGGAGGACGUGAACAAAGGCCCUGGGGUAGGGAGAAGGCUCGUGUCCUGAUCAAACUUUCAAGGCCUGUAGAGCUGAUCCUGUUGAUAAGAAAGGAGGAGACACUCUUUUCUUACACAGCCUGAUUCAGGUGAGCAUACAUGCCCGUAAAAGGAUACAAAUGUGUUUUAGAAGUUAGGUCGUAUAUAUUUUUUCCUCUAUCGGCAGGUGAUUGUCGAUGAACAGAACCUGGAUUUCCUGUUGGCAUAUACUAUCUCUGCUAUUCAGCAGUGUAGUUCCUGGACACACAUGGCAGUUCUUUAAGCCCUGGCUGCUCUGGUUUACUGCAAUGGCUCAAAGUGUCAAAAGUAUCUCCCAGACUUGGUAGGCAAGACUGGACUCUUGAUGAAGUUGAGUGACCCAGCUCAGUCUGACCCUGAAGUGAGGAGGGCUGCAGUGCACUGUAUGGCAAACCUAUGUCUCAGUUGUUACAAAAUGCAUUAAAAGGUAUACAGUCACUUCUAAAUAGUGGGAAGAUGAAGUUAACACUGACUGAAGAACUUGGAGCUCUUCUCGCUGUGCUAAAGGUAAGGCAUUGCUCUUUAAACCCCGGGUCCUCAUUAUGGUUAGUAUCUUUCCUGUUUAGACCCAGGCAUAGCUUUACAUCAUCGCCCUCAGAGUAGCUUUAAAGUAGUAUGUUUUAAGAGAGAAAAAUAAAAUGUUCGUAUUUAAGCAUAUUUAAAGUUAAGAACAGAAAACAGUAAUGCUCAGUUUAGCAAGUGUAUCAGAAUUUUCUCUCUGAAUCUUAACUUGAGAAGGGGAUAGGUUUUGAGGUGUGAUCAGUAGGUAGUUUAAUCUUAGAUAAUCUUGAACGUGCUUAUACCUGUUUGUACUUGAAAGAAGUACAAACCAACUUCUGGGCUUUCUCCUCCAUAUAUUGGGUAGGCCAAUCAGCAGGCUGCCAUCCUUGAGCUUCUGAGCCUGGCCGGUGGUGGGGAAGUCAGUCAGCCUCUCUGGGAACCCAGCUGUCUUCAUU